ensembl:snRNA U6 U6 spliceosomal RNA
GUGCUCGCUUUGGCAGCACAUAUACUAAAACUGGACCGGUACAGAGAAGACUAACAUGGCCCCUGCGCAAGGAUGACACACACAUUUGUGAAGCAUUCCAUAUUAAA